rnacentral:rRNA from 1 species
CCUACGGGAGGCUGCAGUAGGGAAUCUUCCGCAAUGGACGAAAGUCUGACGGAGCAACGCAGCGUGAGCGAAGAAGGCCUUCGGGCCGUAAAGCUCUGUUGUCAGGGAAGAACAAGUACCGGAGUAACUGCCGGUACCUUGACGGUACCUGACGAGAAAGCCACGGCUAACUACGUGCCAGCAGCCGCGGUAAUACGUAGGUGGCAAGCGUUGUCCGGAAUUAUUGGGCGUAAAGCGCGCGCAGGCGGUCCUUUAAGUCUGAUGUGAAAUUUUGCGGCUCAACCGCAAGCGGCCAUUGGAAACUGCGGGACUUGAGGGCAGGCGAGGGCAGUGGAAUUCCACGUGUAGCGGUGAAAUGCGUAGAGAUGGGGAGGGACACCAGUGGCGUAGGCGGCUUCGUGGCCUGUAACUGACGCUGAGGCGCGAAAGCGUGGGGAGCAAACAUGAUUAGAUACCCGGGUAGUC